rnacentral:rRNA from 1 species
CCUACGGGAGGCAGCAGUGGGGAAUAUUGCACAAUGGGGGAAACCCUGAUGCAGCGACGCCGCGUGAGUGAAGAAGUUUUUCGUUAUGUAAAGCUCUAUCAGCAGGGAAGAUAAUGACGGUACCUGAGUAAUCAGCCCCGGCUAACUACGUGCCAGCAGCCGCGGUAAUACGUAGGGGGCAAGCGUUAUCCGGAUUUCCUGGGGGUAAAGGGCACGUAGACGGGAGUGCAAGUCUGGGGUGAAAUCCGUGGGCUCAACCCUAGAACUGCACUUGAAACGGUAAGGCUGGAGUGCAGGAGAGGUAAGUGGAAUUCUUAGUGUAGGGGUGAAAUGCGUAGAGAUUAGGAGGAACACCAGUGGCGAAGGCGGCUUACUGGAAUGUAACUGACGUUGAGGCGCGAAAGCGUGGGGAGCAAACAGGAUUAGAUACCCUGGUAGUC